UCGUGUCGUAAUUGUUCUCGCAUGUUGAGAAGUAGAUCGCUUUAUCAUCGCAUAAACACCGUGAGUUCCGUAGUCCAUGAAGUGGUCAUAGACGUUGUGAUAACUCAUAUAGCUGCCGUGAUUCCACGCGUGAUCGGGCCUUAGGUUGAAUAUUAGCUCGUUGAGGUUAUGUGUAACAUUUAAAUAAGUUCAUGACAUAUGCCGAAAGUCUCUUUUGCGUUUUAUACCAAAAAGGUUUGUCUGACGAUCUGAAAGUUGCAAUAAUAGUCAGAGGUAUUACUGACACUCGAAUAAGGGCUGCUGCGACGAAUGCGAAACUUAAAAUAACAGACUUAGUUGAAUUUUUGUUAGUACCUAUGUGUCAAGAAGGACUUUAUUUGUUGUCAAGUUUUGAGUACUGUCACGAAUGCUGGUUUUUAUUCGGUUAAUUUAAAAAUAUUUCUUUCGUAGAUACUGAAAUAGAUUACUUUGGACGUUUUGUUGAUAAUGGUCAGGAGCGGCCGAGCUCAAGAAAAUUGAGGCGCUGGAGACAGCGUGCCUCAGAAUUGUUUACAGACAAUCAGCGGCGUCAAUACGACUUCACCAAAACCAAAACAACCACGAGAAUACGCUGCUGGCGACUCUGUAGAAGGCUUCGUGGAGUGCAGCAAAGCUGGACUCUGGCAUGCGGGAGCCCUAUGAUUAUUUCUAGUCUGAGAGCGACAGCAGUCUGGUGAUGCUUGAGAUAGUGAAGACUCCAAGCAAGAUGCGGUCGAGGACGCCUCGCUGUCAGGAACGGCCGUGUUAACGAAACCUCCUUUUCAAAGUGAAACCUCCUUCAAGAUCCUUAGUGAAACCUCUUUCGAACCUGGGAUUU